rnacentral:misc_RNA from 1 species
AUGAAGAACGUAGUGAAAUGCGAUACUUGGUGUGAAUUGCAGAAUCCCGUGAACCAUCGAGUCUUUGAACGCAAGUUGCGCCCGAAGCCAUCAGGUUGAGGGCACGUCUGCCUGGGCGUCACAUAUCGUUGCCCAAUGCCUAUUGCAGUGCAAUAGGAAUUUCUAGGGCGAAUGAUGGCUUCCCGUGAGCGUUGUUGCCUCGCGGUUGGUUGAAAAUCGAGUCCUUGGUAGGGUGUGCCAUGGUAGAUGGUGGUCGAGUUAGAACGAUACCGAUCAUGUGCAUGCUCCCCAAAAUAUGGCCUCUAUGACCCACACGCGUCUUUUGACGCUCAUGACGAGACCUCAGGUCAGGCGGGGCUACCCGCUGAAUUUAAGCAUAUCAAUAAGCGGAGGA